rnacentral:rRNA from 1 species
CAGUCGCCGCGGUAAUACGUAUGUCACAAGCGUUAUCCGGAUUUAUUGGGCGUAAAGCGCGCGCAGGUGGUUUAAUAAGUCUGAUGUGAAAGCCCCCGGCUCAACCGGGGAGGGUCAUUGGAAACUGGGAAACUUGAGUGCAGAAGAGGAGAGUGGAAUUCCACGUGUAGCGGUGAAAUGCGUAGAGAUGUGGAGGAACACCAGUGGCGAAGGCGACUCUCUGGUCUGUAACUGACGCUGAGGAGCGAAAGCGUGGGGAGCGAACAGGAUUAGAUACCCGAGUAGUCCCUGUCUCUUAUCC